rnacentral:rRNA from 1 species
GACGAACGCUGGCGGCGUGCUUAACACAUGCAAGUCGAACGGAAAGGCCCUGCUUUUGUGGGGUGCUCGAGUGGCGAACGGGUGAGUAACACGUGAGUAACCUGCCCUUGACUUUGGGAUAACUUCAGGAAACUGGGGCUAAUACCGGAUAGGAGCUCCUGCUGCAUGGUGGGGGGGGGAAAGUUUCGGCGGGUGGGGCUGGACUCGCGGCUUAUCAGCUUGUUGGUGGGGUAGUGGCUUACAAAGGCUUUGACGGGUAGCCGGCCUGGGAGGGUGACCGGCCACAUUGGGACUGCGAUACGGCCCAGACUCCUACGGGAGGCAGCAGUGGGGAAUAUUGCACAAUGGGCGGAAGCCUGAUGCAGCAACGCCGCGUGCGGGAUGACGGCCUUCGGGUUGUAAACCGCUUUCGCCUGUGACGAAGCGUGAGUGACGGUAAUGGGUAAAGAAGCACCGGCUAACUACGUG